GUUAGCACAGAGCCUGACAUGGGACUUGAACUCGCGAACUGCGGGAUCAUGAGCUGAAGUCAGAUGUUCAACCGACUGAGCCACCCAGGCACCCCUGUGUAAAGGCUUUUAAAUGGCCAUGUCCCAAGAGCUAAUUAUCUCACAAGCUGCUAUGACUCUCCUGAGGCCCCACCUCUCAUCGCCCCUCGGCCAAUGAUGACCCUCAGACCCCAAAAUAACUCAGUGAGAGAGGUAGAAGGCCUGGUUAUACACCAAAGAGUUACAGUGUCUUGCUAAUCUGUAUUAGCAAGAAUCUGGGGGGUACACAUGGGAGUGAAUUCUAGGCAUAUCAGACCGAAAGGGAUAGAAUAUAAGACUUGAUCCAGCCACGUCCGUUGAUACGGGUGCAGCCACUAAUGGUUUGACCGAAGCAGACUUGAGUAGUAUUCGUAAUUUGCUAAAUUGGCUAAUGAAAGCGUGGACCUGCUUAGUGGGGGUUCCGAGAGUAGCAAUACCAACACUACUCUAGAAGUUGUUAGAAAUGCAGAAUCACCAACCCCAACCCAGACCGCCCAAAUCUGAAACCGUGGGGAAGGGGCCCAGCAAUGUGUGUUGCAAGCCCUUCAGGUGAUUGUGAUGGACACUGAAGGUUGAGAACCACGGGCCUGCAAUCCCUGAGGUCGAAAUGCCAGGUCUUCCCCAGCAUAAGGUCAUCAGGAAAGAAUUCCUAAGGCUCCAGGUAAUGAGUUAUGUUGGAACUGGAUCCAACUGGGAUUCCCUGGGAGAGCUGAAAGACUCACGUUUUGUUAAGGUGUCAGUUGGUGAGGCGAGGGCCAGCCUCCUCGAAGUACCCUGUGAUGGCCACUGGAGGUGACAGCAGGUGCUGGGAUCGGUUCCCUAAUUUCAGCGGGAAUAAUGGAGACUCAUUGGCAAAGGCCAGCUGCUUAACCAUCAGAGACAAGGUAAGCCUCGUUACCACAGUGAGCCCCGGAGCCGAGGUGGUGUGAGAGAGUCUCAGGCUGACGCAGAACUGGAGGAGGGCUCUGUUCCAGGGCAAGAUGGCGGCGAUGCAGGAAGGCCCUGAACUCACCUCCUCCGCGGACGCACCAACUCUACACUGACUUGAGAGCAAGUCCUCCUGAGGAAGAACUGAGGGCUGACGGAACACCUUCUGCUUAAAAAAAGGUCAACAAUGGUCAUCGAGUGUUUUGAACCGUGUGGAUCUGUGGUCGUGGGCAGAUGACCACAGCGUCUCUACUAACACUGCAACCUUCUCGAGUGCUGCCGAAUGACACCUAAUGCCUCGGGGUGUUCCUCCAUGACCAGAACCACCUCCGCCCCUGCCACCUUCUCCACUCAGCCCUCUGCCCCAGGAGGCCACCCUUGUGGUCCACGUCCAGUAUCUUCUGUGUCCUGGUGGAGCCCCACAGGAGAUCGGAGACAGAGGCAGAGGUCAGGUGGCUUACUUCCUCUUGUGAUCAACCACGAUCAUGUCUUCUCUCACGGGCCUUGUGGUGCCUUUCUCUCCCUGCGGAGGCCAGUGGCCAUUCCCUCCCUCGUCCCUUCCCGCAUCAUGGUGGCAAUGCUUGGCUGCUACCGAACUUGGAUUGCUGCCCUAUCCUUUGUGGUUCCCUGACACCCACAUCGUUUUUGUAAAUAAACCCUCCUCAAAUUAUCCUAUUUUGAAUGUGCCAUCUGUUUCCUGUUGGGAGACUGGCUGAUGCAGUGGGUUUUAUGCCAAAAUUACCCUGCUAACAGUUUCAUUAUUUGAACUUCAACUCGUGGUAUCCUGACAUUUCCCCCCACGCCCUUAUAGGGGAGCUGUUUUGAGCCCCCUGGGAGGGUCUGCUGCCCCAUAGCAGGCAAAAGGGUGAAAUAAUACAACGCAAGCACCCAGCACGAUGUCUGUACAGGCAGACUCAAUAAAUGCUAGAAGAAUCCCCCCACCCCCCACCGCCCUACCCGGCUCCACACUGCAGACGAGGUUCGUGGGGUUUGGCCUCUUUCGUUCCGUCAUGCAUUGUUAGCAAUUUGAGUAGGGGAGGGUUAAACGAGCCAUUUUGCCAAAAAUGACUAUGUUAUUGAAUGACGAUUUUAUUGUUCAAUUCGUAAAUUUUAAUGCAUUUGCAAAAGGCAAGAAGGGAAAACAUGUAAUUUAAGUCAUUUGGAAGCAAAACUGGGCUGUAGGCAGGGCAAACCCAGUCUCACCAGGCAAGCAGACUUCCUACCAAGUUAAUGACACUUAAGCUCCAGGGCCCCUCUCGCACAUGAGGCCCCUUGAUGGUCCGAGCCCUCCAAAUUGUUUCGGCUUCAGGCCCCACAAAACCUGGAGAUCCCCCCUGCAGGGAAGAUACUACAUUCUGUGUCCUCCCUGGGGCACACUGAAGUUCUGUUUGGGGCACUGUCAGCUCACACCAACAGAAGCCACAUGCGUCCUGGAUGAAUCCAACCAGAAUAGGGGCCUCUGGCAGAUGUGUGCCCUGCCGUGCGACAGGCACUCUUCCCCAGCUUCUACGGGGGCAGAGCCCGGGGCUGCAGGCACACACCUUCCAGAACACUGGCAGUUAUCUGACUUCCCAGUGAGAACUCAUACAUCUCAACAACCAUUCCCCACGACCUCUGACCACCGCUGCUUUACUUUAUGGCGCAACAGUUGUCCUCAGCUACG